rnacentral:tRNA from 1 species
GGAGAGGUGUCCGAGUGGUUGAAGGAGCACGCCUGGAAAGUGUGUAUACGGCAACGUAUCGAGGGUUCGAAUCCCUCCCUCUCCGCCA